UCCAAUUUUAAAGAUCACCGAAGUUAAACAACGUCGAGCCUGGUCAGUACUUAGAUGGGUGACCGCUUGGGAAUACCAGAUGCUGUAAG